rnacentral:rRNA from 1 species
GUGAACGCUGGCGGUAGGCCUAACACAUGCCAGUCGCACGGCAGCACAGUAAGAGCUUGCUCUUACGGGUGGCGAGUGGCGGACGGGUGAGGAAUACAUCGGAAUCUACUUUUUCGUGGGGGAUAACGUAGGGAAACUUACGCUAAUACCGCAUACGACCUACGGGUGAAAGCAGGGGAUCUUCGGACCUUGCGCGAUUGAAUGGGCCGAUGUCGGAUUAGCUAGUUGGCGGGGUAAAGGCCCACCAAGGCGACGAUCCGUAGCUGGUCUGAGAGGAUGAUCAGCCACACUGGAACUGAGACACGGUCCAGACUCCUACGGGAGGCAGCAGUGGGGAAUAUUGGACAAUGGGCGCAAGCCUGAUCCAGCCAUACCGCGUGGGUGAAGAAGGCCUUCGGGUUGUAAAGCCCUUUUGUUGGGAAAGAAAAGCAGCAGGUUAAUACCCCGCUGUUCUGACGGUACCCAAAGAAUAAGCACCGGCUAACUUCGUG